GAUGAACGCUAGCGGCAGGCUUAACACAUGCAAGUCGAGGGGUAUAGUUCUUCGGAACUAGAGACCGGCGCACGGGUGCGUAACGCGUAUGCAAUCUAUCUUUUGCAGAGGGAUAGCCCAGAGAAAUUUGGAUUAAUACCUCAUGGUAUGUGAGAAUGGCAUCAUUUUCACAUUAAAGUCACAACGGCAAACGAUGAGCAUGCUUGCAAUUGGCUUGUUGGGAAGGUAACGGCUUACCAAGGAAACGAUGGGUAGGGGUCCUGAGAGGGAGAGCCCCCACACUGGUACUGAGACACGGACCAGACUCCUACGGGCGGCAGCAGUGAGGAAUAUUGGACAAUGGGCGCAAGCCUGAUCCAGCCAUGCCGCGUGCAGGAUGACGGUCCUAUGGAUUGUAAACUGCUUUUGUACAGGAAGAAACACUGGUUCGUGAACCAGCUUGACGGUACUGUAAGAAUACGGAUCGGCUAACUCCGUGCCAGCCGCCGCGGUAAAAC
rnacentral:rRNA from 1 species